rnacentral:rRNA from 1 species
CUUUUACAAUGAAGAGUUUGAUCCUGGCUCAGGAUGAACGCUAGCUACAGGCUUAACACAUGCAAGUCGAGGGGCAGCAUCAUCAAAGCUUGCUUUGAUGGAUGGCGACCGGCGCACGGGUGAGUAACACGUAUCCAACCUGCCGACAACACUGGGAUAGCCUUUCGAAAGAAAGAUUAAUACCGGAUGGCAUAGUUUUCCCGCAUGGGUUGACUAUUAAAGAAUUUCGGUUGUCGAUGGGGAUGCGUUCCAUUAGGCAGUUGGCGGGGUAACGGCCCACCAAACCUACGAUGGAUAGGGGUUCUGAGAGGAAGGUCCCCCACAUUGGAACUGAGACACGGUCCAAACUCCUACGGGAGGCAGCAGUGAGGAAUAUUGGUCAAUGGACGAGAGUCUGAACCAGCCAAGUAGCGUGAAGGAUGACUGCCCUAUGGGUUGUAAACUUCUUUUAUACGGGAAUAAAGUGAGCCACGUGUGGCUUUUUGUAUGUACCGUAUGAAUAAGGAUCGGCUAACUCCGUGCCAGCAGCCGCGGUAAUACGGAGGAUCCGAGCGUUAUCCGGAUUUAUUGGGUUUAAAGGGAGCGUAGGCGGGUUGUUAAGUCAGUUGUGAAAGUUUGCGGCUCAACCGUAAAAUUGCAGUUGAUACUGGCGACCUUGAGUGCAACAGAGGUAGGCGGAAUUCGUGGUGUAGCGGUGAAAUGCUUAGAUAUCACGAAGAACUCCGAUUGCGAAGGCAGCUUACUGGAUUGUAACUGACGCUGAUGCUCGAAAGUGUGGGUAUCAAACAGGAUUAGAUACCCUGGUAGUCCACACAGUAAACGAUGAAUACUCGCUGUUGGCGAUAUACAGUCAGCGGCCAAGCGAAAGCAUUAAGUAUUCCACCUGGGGAGUACGCCGGCAACGGUGAAACUCAAAGGAAUUGACGGGGGCCCGCACAAGCGGAGGAACAUGUGGUUUAAUUCGAUGAUACGCGAGGAACCUUACCCGGGCUUAAAUUGCAACUGACGGAACCGGAAACGGUUCUUUCUUCGGACAGUUGUGAAGGUGCUGCAUGGUUGUCGUCAGCUCGUGCCGUGAGGUGUCGGCUUAAGUGCCAUAACGAGCGCAACCCUUAUCGAUAGUUACUAGCAGGUCAUGCUGAGGACUCUAUUGAGACUGCCGUCGUAAGAUGUGAGGAAGGUGGGGAUGACGUCAAAUCAGCACGGCCCUUACGUCCGGGGCUACACACGUGUUACAAUGGGGGGUACAGAAGGCAGCUACACGGCGACGUGGUGCUAAUCCCAAAAGCCUCUCUCAGUUCGGAUUGGAGUCUGCAACCCGACUCCAUGAAGCUGGAUUCGCUAGUAAUCGCGCAUCAGCCACGGCGCGGUGAAUACGUUCCCGGGCCUUGUACACACCGCCCGUCAAGCCAUGAAAGCCGGGGGUACCUGAAGUACGUAACCGCGAGGAGCGUCCUAGGGUAAAACUGGUGAUUGGGGCUAAGUCGUAACAAGGUAGCCGUACCGGAAGGUGCGGCUGGAACACCUCCUUUCU